UUCAGACUCUUGUACAACAUGGAGUGGGGCAUUCAGAACUAUUUUAUUGUACAUCUUUGGAUCAACAUGUUGGCACCCCAAACAUGGGCACAAGUUUUACACCCUUCAAAUGAUGCUUGCGAAGGAAAAAAAGGUUUCUCGGAUAACAUUAAUUGCUCAAAGCCAAAUUACACACUUGUACAUUUUCAAAAUAACCGGAUGGAGGUCAAGUGGGAUAGCAUAAAACUUUUGAAUGUG